rnacentral:misc_RNA from 2 species
CAACCCUCAAGCUCUGCUUGGUAUUAGGCUUCACCCGCAAGGGCGGGCCUUAAAAUCAGUGGCGGUGCCAUCUGGCUUCAAGCGUAGUAAUUCUUCUCGCUUUGGAGAACUGGAUGUGUGCCUGCCAGCAACCCCAAUUUUUAUCAAA